rnacentral:rRNA from 1 species
CCUACGGGUGGCUGCAGUGGGGAAUAUUGGACAAUGGGCGAAAGCCUGAUCCAGCCAUGCCGCGUGUGUGAAGAAGGCCUUCGGGUUGUAAAGCACUUUCAGUGGGGAAGAAAGCCUUGGGGCUAAUACCCUCGAGGAAUGACAUCACCCACAGAAGAAGCACCGGCUAACUCCGUGCCAGCAGCCGCGGUAAUACGGAGGGUGCGAGCGUUAAUCGGAAUUACUGGGCGUAAAGCGCGCGUAGGCGGUCUGAUAAGCCGGUUGUGAAAGCCCCGGGCUCAACCUGGGAACGGCAUCCGGAACUGUCAGGCUAGAGUGCAGGAGAGGAAGGUAGAAUUCCCGGUGUAGCGGUGAAAUGCGUAGAGAUCGGGAGGAAUACCAGUGGCGAAGGCGGCCUUCUGGACUGACACUGACGCUGAGGUGCGAAAGCGUGGGUAGCAAACAGGAUUAGAUACCCCAGUUAGUC